rnacentral:rRNA from 1 species
UAGGGAAUCUUCCACAAUGGACGCAAGUCUGAUGGAGCAACGCCGCGUGAGUGAAGAAGGUUUUCGGAUCGUAAAGCUCUGUUGUUGGUGAAGAAGGAUAGAGGUAGUAACUGGCCUUUAUUUGACGGUAAUCAACCAGAAAGUCACGGCUAACUACGUGCCAGCAGCCGCGGUAAUACGUAGGUGGCAAGCGUUGUCCGGAUUUAUUGGGCGUAAAGCGAGCGCAGGCGGAAGAAUAAGUCUGAUGUGAAAGCCCUCGGCUUAACCGAGGAACUGCAUCGGAAACUGUUUUUCUUGAGUGUAGAAGAGGAGAGUGGAAUUCCAUGUGUAGCGGUGGAAUGCGUAGAUAUAUGGAACAACACCAGUGGCGAAGGCGACUCUCUGGUCUGCAACUGACGCUGAGGCUCGAAAGCAUGGGUAGCGAACAGG